UACGUAGGGUGCAAGCGUUGUCCGGAAUUAUUGGGCGUAAAGAGCUCGUAGGCGGUCUGUCGCGUCGGCUGUGAAAACUCGGGGCUCAACUCCGAGCUUGCAGUCGAUACGGGCAGGCUAGAGUUCGGCAGGGGAGGACUGGAAUUCCUGGUGUAGCGGUGAAAUGCGCAGAUAUCAGGAGGAACACCGGUGGCGAAGGCGGGUCUCUGGGCCGAUACUGACGCUGAGGAGCGAAAGCGUGGGGGAGCGAACAGG
rnacentral:rRNA from 1 species